rnacentral:rRNA from 1 species
UACGUAGGGUGCGAGCGUUAAUCGGAAUUACUGGGCGUAAAGGGUGCGCAGGCGGUUAUAUAAGACAGAUGUGAAAUCCCCGGGCUCAACCUGGGAACUGCGUUUGUGACUGUAUGACUAGAGUACGGUAGAGAGGGGUGGAAUUCCUGGUGUAGCAGUGAAAUGCGUAGAUAUCAGGAAGAACACCCGUGGCGAAGGCGGCUCUCUGGGACGGUACUGACGCUGAGACGCGAAAGCGUGGGGAGCGAACAGG